rnacentral:rRNA from 1 species
UCUGUAAAAAAGUUGAUUUUAGAUUGAUCCUGUCUUAAUUUUUUAUUGUUUGAUUAGUUGAUUUAUAAUAUUAAAUAUAAGUUUUUGCUUGAUAUCUCUAUUUUCUUAAUGAUCAUUGAGUUGUUUAUUUUUAGUUUUUAUUUUUGGGUAUCAAAUAACUUUGUACCCAGUUAAUUUUUUAUAGGACUGUUUAAUUUUGUGCCAGCAAACGCGGUUAUACAAUUAGUUCAAAUUAAUUUUUUUGGUUAUUUAUUUAUUUAUAUUUUUGAGAAUUUAAUUUUGUUUUUAAGGUGAAAUUUUAAUUAUGAAUAUAUUUUUUGGGUUUAAUAUUAUAAUAAGGUUAGAGUUGAAACUAGGAUUAGAUACCCUAUUAUUCUA